UAACGCGAAGAACCUUACCAACACUUGACAUGUUCGUCGCGACUCUAAGAGAUUAGAGUUUUCGGUUCGGCCGGACGAAACACAGGUGCUGCAUGGCUGUCGUCAGCUCGUGUCGUGAGAUGUUGGGUUAAGUCCUGCAACGAGCGCAACCCUCACUUUUAGUUGCCAUCAUUAAGUUGGGCACUCUGAAAGAACUGCCAGUGAUAAGCUGGAGGAAGGUGGGGAUGACGUCAAGCCCUCAUGGCCCUUACGUGUUGGGCUACACACGUGCUACAAUGGUAUUUACAACAGGAAGCAAAACCGCGAGGUUAAGCAAAUCCCUAAAAGAUACCUCAGUUCGGAUUGCACUCUGCAACUCGAGUGCAUGAAGCUGGAAUUACUAGUAAUCGUGGAUCAGCGUGCCACGGUGAAUGCGUUCCCGGGUCUUGUACACACCG
rnacentral:rRNA from 1 species